UGUCUCCUCCACCGCCUCCAUGGUGGAUUCAGCCCGAGCUUGCAAGAGCUCGGGCUUUUUUUC
rnacentral:ncRNA from 1 species